rnacentral:piRNA from 1 species
UAGAUUGGUACAACAACGUCGAGAAACGU